UUUCGGGAUCUGGAAUCAGUCAGGCGGUUGUUAGGCUAGGGAAUCGAAUAUGCCUGGAAUACAAGCUAGGGAGAGGUAGGCGUACAUGUUUGGCCCAUGUCCAUGUCAGUGACCUUAUCCCUAACCCAUAGAACAGGCCAUCGCCGGCCACAUACCUGCUCUGCCCCUCCGUCUUUGUCUCUCUUCCCCAAACCCGACGGUGGCACUGGUUUCUCUCCGGUGAGAAUCUCCCUAGCCCCUUGCCCUACCCACAUACCCCGUGACCGUGGGAAAGUUGUCACCACACACCGGCUCUGCCGCUAGGUCUCUAUCUCUCUCCCCAACCUCGAUGGCGCCAAGUUUCCUCUCUGGCGACAUGUGCUCCUUUGGUGUUGAGUGCCACGGUUGCGUCUUCUUAUGGCUCGCCGGUCAUGGCCGCGUUUAGAUCCGCGUGAUUGUGUCCCAUUCUAUGGAUUUGAGUUCUCUUGACUCACCACGCACUUCUCUGCAGGAUCCGUGUAGGGACGCCUGAGUUGAUUCCCGAUGUCUUCUCCGUGGACUCUUAGGAUGAGCAUCGCUGAUAGCCAGCUGGCCGGCGGAGGUGAGGGCACACAGCUUUGCGGGGACGCCGACUUAGGUUUGCUCAGAAGCCACCAGUGACUGGAUCAUGAGGUAAUUAUACAAAACUAAAACUCUCUCAUGUACCAUAAUAAGUAGUUUGGUUUCCCAGAUAAUGCUAGACGCUCCUGUUUCUGAGACGCAAACUUCUUGGCAAGAACCAAUCAUCUCAUCUAGUUUCAGUGUGAUAAAUGCUACUGUUAAUGUGCAUAGAUUUCAGUAUGGAAUUCUGCGGUGAGGGUUGGAGAUUGUUGUUUUGGUUGGCAUUUCAGUUGUGGAAUUUGUCAACACCCGAGAACAUUAUUAUUUGUCUGAUUUUUUUGUCGCUGCUGGUAAUUUUGAGAUCUAUAUUUCACUACUAGGGAAAAGCUUAUAGACAGGCGCUUACUAGUAGUGCGGGUUUAUACCCCUCACUACUGCUACUUACUAGUAGCGCAGUUUUUUACCCCUCGCUGCUACUAAGUUGAUAGUAGUAGCGCGGGUUUUUAACCCUCGCUACUACUAAGCAGUCUCUACCGUGCCCCCCCGGGACAUGCCAUAGUAGUAGCGAGGGAUAUGAAACCGCGCUACUACUAAGUUGAUAGUAGUAGCGCGGGUUUAUACCCCUCGCUACUACUAAGUACAAGGUAGGUGAAUUCUCCAUAUCCUCGGUCGAGUCCCUCCUCUCUCCCUCACUCUCCCCCCUCUCUCCAUAGGCUCUCCCAUUCCGCUUCUCCCUCCCAUCCGCGAUUCCCUUCCUCAUCCACCACCACCGCCGGCCUCGCACCUCAUGCCUCCCCCAAAUCAGGCGACCUCCACACCCACCGCAGCCCCCUCCCCCUCCUUCCUCCUCCUUCUCUGAUGUUGGAAGGAGAGGCAGAUCCAGCAGAGCGCCAUCCAUGGCGGAGGCCAGAUCCGCCAUGGACACAACCACACGUGAGUUGUUCUUCCUACUCCUCUCUCUCUCUCUCUCUCUCUCUCUCUCUCUCUCUCUCUCUCUCUCUCUCUCUCUCUCUCUCUCUCUCUUCAUCUUCCAGAUCGAGCAGAGCGCCAUCCAUGGCGUCAUCUAGGGUUUCGGCUCCAACUCCGGUGACCACCGCAGCAACAAAGGAGAGGUGUAUCACCAUGGACGACUCUAUCCCCCCUAGGAUCAGCAUCGACCAUGGAUGAAGAGGAUGAUGAUGCCUAGCUAGCAGAAGCAGCCAUGGCUGGAAUUUAUUUUUUUAAUUCCUAAUUAGUUAGCAGUAGCGAGGCUACAGACCCACGCUACUACUAGUUAGUAGUAGCGCGGGUGGUAUCCACACUACUACUAACGGAUGUAGUAGUAGCGCGGGUGCCACCCGCGCUACUACUACCAGUUAGCUGUAGCGCCGUAUCAGUAGCGCGGGCACCCGUGCUACUAAUGUACCUAAAACCUGCCCUACUGCUAGGCUUUUCCCUAGUAGUGUUUAGUCUGAAAAAAAUCUAGUGUUGAUGUGGAUAGAUUGAAUUCACUAAGAAAAUAAUAUGUUGAUGGGCAAAGAUUGUGUUUUUGGUUGGUAUUUCAAUUGUGGGAUUUGUACAUGGCAGUGGGAUUUUUACCUUUGAGUAAUUUUCACUCAUUUAAUUUUUUUGUUUCAUAUGUAGCUAGCUUCAUA